rnacentral:rRNA from 1 species
UACGUAGGGUGCGAGCGUUAAUCGGAAUUACUGGGCGUAAAGCGUGCGCAGGUGGUUGUGUAAGUCAGAUGUGAAAUCCCCGGGCUCAACCUGGGAACUGCAUUUGAGACUGCACGGCUAGAGGAUGGCAGAGGGGGGUAGAAUUCCACGUGUAGCAGUGAAAUGCGUAGAGAUGUGGAGGAAUACCGAUGGCGAAGGCAGCCCCCUGGGCUAUUACUGACACUCAUGCACGAAAGCGUGGGGAGCAAAC